rnacentral:rRNA from 1 species
UACAGAGGGGGCAAGCGUUGUUCGGAAUUACUGGGCGUAAAGGGCGCGUAGGCGGCCUGUUAAGUCGAACGUGAAAUCCCCGGGCUCAACCCGGGAACUGCGUCCGAUACUGGCAGGCUCGAAUCCGGGAGAGGGAUGCGGAAUUCCAGGUGUAGCGGUGAAAUGCGUAGAUAUCUGGAGGAACACCGGUGGCGAAGGCGGCAUCCUGGACCGGAAUUGACGCUGAGGCGCGAAAGCCAGGGGAGCAAACGGG